AUUGAACGCUGGCGGUAUGCUUAACACAUGCAAGUCGAACGGCAGCGCGGUCUUUGGUCCGGCGGCGUGUGGGGCACUGGCGUGCGAUGCAUCAGAACGUGCCAAGUAGCGGGGUAUAGCACGCUGACAGCGGGAAUCAUACUCUAAGAGCCCCGACGGCGUAUGAGGGGGAUCUACAGAUCUAGCGACCUUGGCGCGCCCGAUGACGGAUUAGCGAGUUGGUGGGGUAAAGGCCUACCAAGGCGACGAUCCGUAGAUGGUCUGAGAGGAUGACCAGCCACACUGGAACUGAGACACGGCCCAGACUCCUACGGGAGGCAGCAGUGGGGAAUUUUGGACAAUGGGGGCAAGCCUGAUCCAGCCAUGCCGCGUGUGUGAAGAAGGCCUUCGGGUUGUAAACCGCUUUUGUUCGGGAAGAAAAGCUGUGGGAUAAUACCCCGAGGGAAUGACGGUACCGAAAGAAUAAGCACCGGCUAACUACGUG
rnacentral:rRNA from 1 species